rnacentral:snRNA from 1 species
AACUUUGUGCAGUGGUGGCAUUGUUGCUGAUGAGGUUUAUCUGAGGUGCAAUUAUUGAUAAUUGAAAACUGUCCCCAAAACU